UUUUGGCAGAGUAAUGCAAUAAAUUUAGAUUUUAUAUAAGUAACUUAUUUUACUAUUAAAA
rnacentral:tRNA from 1 species